AACAUAAACCAUGUUUUCUGUAGCUCUGCUGCUGCUGUUGGCAGCUGGAUGUGUGAAGUGUGAACAGUUGACACAGCCAGCCUCUGUGACUGUGCAGGCAGGUCAACGUCUGACCAUCACCUGUCAGGUCUCUUAUUCUCUGAGCAGCUCCCGCACACACUGGAUCAGACAGCCUGCAGGGAAAGGAUUGGAGUGGAUUGGAAGUGUACGUGUUGGAUACAACACAUACUACAAAGAUUCACUGAAGAACAAGUUCAGCAUUGAUUUAGACUCUUCCAGCAAAACAGUGACUCUAACUGGACAGAAUGUGCAGCCUGAAGACUCUGCUGUGUAUUUCUGUGCCAGAGAGUCACAGUAACACAAACCAUCAGUGGAGCUGAACAAAAACCCCUCAGUGCCUGAACACUUGGAACAUGAAGCCACCAGAGGAGGAGCCCUCAGACCACUAAUAAUUUCAACACCAGUUCACUGUUAAAGA